UACGGAGGAUCCAAGCGUUAUCCGGAAUCAUUGGGUUUAAAGGGUGCGUAGGUGGCCCUGUAAGUCAGUGGUGAAAUAUCUCAGCUUAACUGAGAGGGUGCCAUUGAUACUGCAGGGCUUGAGUACAGAUGAGGUAGGCGGAAUUGACGGUGUAGCGGUGAAAUGCAUAGAUAUCGUCAAGAACACCGAUAGCGAAGGCAGCUUACCAAGCUGUAACUGACACUGAGGCACGAAAGUGUGGGGAUCAAACAGG
rnacentral:rRNA from 1 species